AUUGAACGCUGGCGGCAGGCUUAACACAUGCAAGUCGAACGAGUGGAGGACGGGUGAGUAAUGCUUGGGAAUCUAGCUUAUGGAGGGGGAUAACUCCGGGAAACUGUAGCUAAUACCGCGUACAAUAGGAUGAGCCCAAGUGGGAUUAGGUAGUUGGUGAGGUAAAGGCUCACAAAGCCGACGAUCUCUAGCUGGUCUGAGAGGAUGACCAGCCACACUGGGACUGCGACACGGUCCAGACUCCUACGGGAGGCAUCAGUGGGGAAUAUUGCACAAUGGGCGCAAGCCUGAUUCAUCCAUGCCGCGUGUGUGAAGAAGGCCUUCGGGUUGUAAAGCACUUUCAGCGAGGAGGCGUUACUCGCAGAAGAAGCACCGGCUAACUCCGUGCCAGCCGCCGCGGUAAUUC
rnacentral:rRNA from 1 species